rnacentral:rRNA from 1 species
UACGGAGGAUGCGAACGUAAUCCGGAUUUAUUGGGUUUAAAGGGUGCGUAGGCGGACUGUCAAGUCAGCGGUAAAAUUGAGAGGCUCAACCUCUUCCCGCCGUUGAAACUGGUGGUCUUGAGUGGAUGAGAAGUACGCGGAAUGCGUGGUGUAGCGGUGAAAUGCAUAGAUAUCACGCAGAACUCCGAUUGCGAAGGCAGCGUACCGGCAUCCAACUGACGCUGAGGCACGAAAGCGUGGGGAUCAAACAGG